UACUUGUUUACAGAUUAUUACAUGGCAAGUGAUUGAAUUACCUAAGCAGAAAUGAAAAAUAAGAAGUUGCAACUCUAAGAAUCCUGAUUCGGACUUUUUGUUUGAGUAAUGUAAUAAACCACGUUAAAUGCUAAUAUUGUUCAUAGCUUUUCCUCAUAUCUAGAUGUCUCAGAGUUCCCUAAGGAUCUCAAGGGAUCACGGGCAGUGCUCACACCUAGAUUUUAUAGCCAAAAUAGAGUAAGUGCAAUAUGGAAAGGCCAGCUUUCAUGUGUCCAAGUUCAGAGGGAGCUCAGGAGUGCCAAGGCAAGGCUCACACAAAAGGGGCAGGACCUUAUUCUAAGAGUAUAGAUGAGAGUGCUUGACAUAGAUUUUAAAGGAGUUGAGUUGGAAAACAGUUUUGAAAACAGUCAUGUUUUGAAGUGAGUUUGCAACAGAACAUUUUUUGGCAAAAGGAAACAAUAGCCAAAAUAGAGUAAGUGCAAUAUGGAAAGGCCAGCUUUCAUGUGUCCAAGUUCAGAGGGAGCUCAGGAGUGCCAAGGCAAGGCUCACACAAAAGGGGCAGGACCUUAUUCUAAGAGUAUAGAUGAGAGUGCUUGACAUAGAUUUUAAAGGAGUUGAGUUGGAAAACAGUUUUGAAAACAGUCAUGUUUUGAAGUGAGUUUGCAACAGAACAUUUUUUGGCAAAAGGAAACAACAUCACAUACAGAACAAGUUCAAAAAGCAGUACAACUACAGAAAUUUCAAACAGGACAAUAGGGGUUUGGGACAUAGAGGACCCAAAUCAAAAUGUGUAAACAUGGCUGAUAGAUGCAUAUAGACCAACAAAUAGGGACUGAUUGGCCUUUGGACACAAACAACUACUUCAACGGAAUCAUGCUGAAAUUAUAACAGUAAUAAAACAUAGGGAGAGGGUAUGGGAGUAGUCAUGCAGGGGGUCUAUUACAUAUAAUCAGUCAUGAAUUAGUGUUAAUCAAGUACAUUAGGGGACAUACUAGUUGAGGGACAUAAACAGGAACAAGUAAAUAUCCUGAUUACAUUUGAACAAGGGAGGGCAAAAUUUUAAGCAUGCUGAGUAAAGCAGUAAACAAGAAGUGCAAUUUAAUAGCAUGAGCCAUUAAGUUAGUAUAGAAAGAGAUAAGGAUUGACAAACAAGGGAACACAUAGAGUUGAGUUUCAGAAUUUGAACUAGGAACAUACCAGUUGAAGAAGCAAUGUGCAGAAAAAAGAAGUAAAAUCAAGCAUAGUUCCACAGUCUAGCCUUGGCUUUCAGCCGACUAGACAAAGCAGUAGCACAAGUAGUAGAGAAAAAAAACAGAGUUUGAGUGUGUAUGUGUGUGCUGAACUAAUUAUUCGUGUUUUGCUAAAGAGAGGGUAGAGUAUUUAUAGUUUCUAAAAAUAGGUAGAAAUUCAAGUAAUAAGUACUGACUUAGCAUAAUUAUAGAAAUAAUUUGAAUCAAUCAAUUAAAGACUAGGACUUCCUUUAAUUAAGGAGCCAUGGUUCAAAUGGGUACAAGUUGUAUCAAAUAAGAAAAAGAACUGCUUGUAAGACUGAUUUUACCAUAAUAGGAAUAGUAAAAGCAUGUAGCAUAUAAUAAGGACUAAGUACAAAAUGUUUUCAAGUAAGGAAAGUAUAAUAACAGUAUAUUGUGCACAUAAACUGGGUAGAGUACAAAUUGAUUCUAAAAAUUAAUUCAAAGAAUCACGAAUGAGAUUGAGAAUUACAGGGAAUUAAUACUAACUAGGGAAAGUAUCACAAAAGUAAGGAAGAAAUUUCGAAAAAUCAAUACAGAGUUACAAGAAAAAUACACAAAUCAAAGAUAUAAGCUUAAGAAGAUUACACAUAAUCAACAUAAAUUAUGUGAAUGAUCAAAUAAAUAAAUGGUCGAACCUAUAUAUAACGCGAGCUUGGACAAAAUCAAAGUAACCUUAAGAACAAAUUAAAAUAGGAAGCAACAAUAGCAUAUAUCACACACAUAAAGUCCAGAAUGUUCAUGAUAGUCAUGCAAACACACUGCGAACAAAUUCAAACUUCGAACUGAACCCAGAAGUAUUAGGAUUUCUUGACAAAAAAAUGAUUCGAGCCAAAAGGAAAGACCCAGGUAGUGUUUAAACAUGCUAAAAAUUACGAUAAUCAGAAAGAAAUUAUUUUUUGCAAAAGGGUUUUGAAACCCUAGUUUAGAAAGUGAAGAUAUUGUCUGAAAUCGCGAAACAUUUUAAGGAAAACAAGUGAAAACCUUAAGAAACCCAUAGAUCCAUCACAGAUCUAAAAAGAUCGGAAGAUUUAUAACUAGUUUUUUUUCAGAAAAUAGCAGAGACAAAUAAAAAAAUCGGUUAAAAACCAAUCUAAAGAAAAAGUGAAAAACCUCAAGAGUUAGGGUUUCAAAAAACCCAAAGAAGGUGAGAAAACGUUAGAUCGUCACCGGUUUCAGCCGGAAAGGCUAUGGAUGGACGGAAAAUGGCAUAAACGACCAUGGAUAGGAGUUGAACAAGAUCUGGACUAGAUCUCUUUGAGAUCUUUCCACGAAAUCACAAAAACGGGUAACCAAGAGAUGUAGAAGACAAGCACACAUCUCAAACAACCAUUGGAUUCCAUAGAUUGGAUGGGGAUCGAACGAGAUUAGGGCUAGUUUGGGUGGCAGAGGCUAGGGUUUGAGUGAGGUUGCAGAGAGAAUUAGAGAGGAAAGAGGAUUCAAG
rnacentral:lncRNA from 1 species